UAAUGGAAUUCGUCAUCCUGGG
rnacentral:piRNA from 1 species